rnacentral:rRNA from 1 species
UGGGGAAUAUUGCGCAAUGGGGGCAACCCUGACGCAGCAACGCCGCGUGAUUGAAGAAGGCCUUCGGGUUGUAAAGAUCUUUAAUUGGGGACGAAAGAAAUGACGGUACCCAAAGAAUAAGCUCCGGCUAACUACGUGCCAGCAGCCGCGGUAAUACGUAGGGAGCAAGCGUUAUCCGGAUUUACUGGGUGUAAAGGGCGAGUAGGCGGGCUGGCAAGUUGGGAGUGAAAUCCCGGGGCUUAACCCCGGAACUGCUUUCAAAACUGCUGGUCUUGAGUGAUGGAGAGGCAGGCGGAAUUCCGUGUGUAGCGGUGAAAUGCGUAGAUAUACGGAGGAACACCAGUGGCGAAGGCGGCCUGCUGGACAUUAACUGACGCUGAGGAGCGAAAGCGUGGGGAGCAAACAGG